rnacentral:lncRNA from 1 species
GAUUUUUAUCUUUGUUUGCUUUUUAUUUGAAUGGCUUGCUGAGCUUUAUCAGUCUUUAAUGAAGAAGGAAAAAGACGACCUCUUGAAACCAGUGCCUUUGAAUUUUAUCUAGUUACCAAGAUUCCCCCUCCCAUGGACACGUUUUUUUUUUUUGGUGUGACUAGCUCAAGGACAAGGAUUUUUCUUUUUUCCCCCCUUUAAGAUAAGCUAUAAGGGAACCUGAGAACAUUUGAGAGUGUGAAAUUCAGCUACAUACAUCUGUAUUAUUUAGAAAGAACAGAGGACUCUGUAAGCACGCAUCUUUCUCAUCACAGUUGGCCGUUCUGUUUCCUUGUGACUGACCUUUGCAGUUACUGGGAUGUUGGUAUUUAAGAAGGUGGUGUUUCCAGAGUUGGAAACCUCCAUUCUCCCACCACUUCAGGGCUUCAUACCUGAAUGCUGUUGGCUUUCAGUUACAGGUUUCAAUAAGGAGGCUUCUGGGGUUGGCGU